rnacentral:rRNA from 1 species
AUUGAACGCUGGCGGCAGGCCUAACACAUGCAAGUCGAACGAGUGGCGGACGGGUGAGUAAUGUCUGGGAAACUGCCCGAUGGAGGGGGAUAACUACUGGAAACGGUAGCUAAUACCGCAUACCAUCGGAUGUGCCCAGAUGGGAGUAGCUAGUUGGUGGGGUAACGGCUCACCUAGGCGACGAUCCCUAGCUGGUCUGCCAGGCUGACCGGCCAAACUGGAACUGGGACACGGCCCAGACUCCUACGGGAGGCAGAAGUGGGGAAUAGUGCACAAUGGGGGCAAGCCUGAUGCAGCCAGGCGGCGUGUAGGAAGAAGGCCUUCGGGUUGUAAAGUACUUUCAGCGAGGAGGCGUUACUCGCAGAAGAAGCACCGGCUAACUCCGUGCCAGCAGCCGCGGUAAUUC